CGCCGGGAUCAGACUACAGUCUGGGCAAGAGGAUCGAAGCCGUGGUGGUGUGCAAUGGAAACGGAGUGAACCGGCUCAAUGCUGAACCAGCCCGCGGUCGAGCCGUGAAGGACGCCGACGCCUCGCUCCAAAACAACGCUCUGCAGGUCAUGAAAAACACCAUGACGAUACCCCGGAUCAUCCUCACGCAUCCGUCCACCUCGGACGAGGACAUUGAGCCCCUCACCCCGAGCCCUGACGAGGGGGAUUUGGACGACUUGGACGACCCGGACUCUCACCUGUACUCGGACUGUUUGAGCAGCGCCUUCUAUCCGCCGUGAGUCGCUCGGCGCCGAGUGCGGUGUGCGCUCCUGUCCAGGCGGGCCGAGUCGAGGUCGACGCUGGGGGGUCAGUGAGCCUCCUUCUCUCCUCGAGGCUUCUGGGAAGGGAUUCGCCAUCCACUGGGGACGUACUGUAUGUCCUGCCAGCUGCUGUGUUAUUUUUUUUAUACUCAUUUUUGUAUGUGGGCUUAAUGUACGUAAUGCUGCUUA